AAUCGUUAGUGGCGGACGGGUGAGUAACACGUUGGAACCUGCCCCAAAGUAAGGGAUAAGCCACCGAAAGGUGGUCUAAUACCUUAUAGUAUCCAUCUCGUAUGGAUUAAAGCUUUAUGCGCUUUGGGAGGGGCCUGCGUUUGAUUAGCUAGUUGGUGAGGUAAAAGCUCACCAAGGCUACGAUCAAUAGCUGGUUUGAGAGGAUGACCAGCCACACUGGGACUGAGAUACGGCCCAGACUCCUACGGGAGGCAGCAGUAAGGAAUCUUCCACAAUGGGGGCAACCCUGAUGGAGCAAUACCGCGUGCAGGAUGAAGCGUUUCGGCGUGUAAACUGCUUUUAUCACCGAAGAUUAUGACUGUAGGUGAAGAAUAAGGACCGGCUAACUACGUGCCAGCAGCCGCGGUAAUACGUAGGGUCCAAGCGUUAUCCGGAAUUACUGGGCGUAAAGCGUCUGUAGGCGGCUUAAUAAGUCGGGUGCGAAAUCUUGCGGCUCAACCGUAUAGACUGUGCUCGAAACUAUUUAGCUAGAGGUAGGUAGAGGCAAGUGGAAUUUCUGGUGUAGGAGUGACAUCCGUAGAUAUCAGAAGGAACACCAAUGGCGAAGGCAGCUUGCUGGGCCUUACCUGACGCUCAGAGACGAAAGCGUGGGG
rnacentral:rRNA from 1 species